rnacentral:rRNA from 1 species
AGUGAACGCUGGCGGUAGGCCUAACACAUGCCAGUCGAACGGCAGCACAGUAAGAGCUUGCUCUUACGGGUGGCGAGUGGCGGACGGGUGAGGAAUACAUCGGAAUCUACUUUUUCGUGGGGGAUAACGUAGGGAAACUUACGCUAAUACCGCAUACGACCUACGGGUGAAAGCAGGGGAUCUUCGGACCUUGCGCGAUUGAAUGAGCCGAUGUCGGAUUAGCUAGUUGGCGGGGUAAAGGCCCACCAAGGCGACGAUCCGUAGCUGGUCUGAGAGGAUGAUCAGCCACACUGGAACUGAGACACGGUCCAGACUCCUAAGGGAGGCAGCAGUGGGGAAUAUUGGACAAUGGGCGCAAGCCUGAUCCAGCCAUACCGCGUGGGUGAAGAAGGCCUUCGGGUUGUAAAGCCCUUUUGUUGGGAAAGAAAAGCAGCAGGUUAAUACCCCGCUGUUCUGACGGUACCCAAAGAAUAAGCACCGGCUAACUUCGUG